CCUACGGGGGGCAGCAGUGGGGAAUAUUGGACAAUGGGGGGAACCCUGAUCCAGCCAUGCCGCGUGUGUGAAGAAGGCCCUCGGGUUGUAAAGCACUUUCAGUGAGGAAGAACGCCUGGUGGUGAAUACCCAUCAGGAAAGACAUCACUCACAGAAGAAGCACCGGCUAACUCCGUGCCAGCAGCCGCGGUAAUACGGAGGGUGCGAGCGUUAAUCGGAAUUACUGGGCGUAAAGCGCGCGUAGGUGGCUUGAUAAGCCGGUUGUGAAAGCCCCGGGCUCAACCUGGGAACGGCAUCCGGAACUGUCAAGCUAGAGUGCAGGAGAGGAAGGUAGAAUUCCCGGUGUAGCGGUGAAAUGCGUAGAGAUCGGGAGGAAUACCAGUGGCGAAGGCGGCCUUCUGGACUGACACUGACACUGAGGUGCGAAAGCGUGGGUAGCAAACAGGAUUAGAUACCCUAGUAGUC
rnacentral:rRNA from 1 species